UGCCCAGCAACUCCUAUCCCUACCUCCUCGCGGUACCGGAUGGAAACUAUGAGCAACCUUAAGGAAGAUCGGG
rfam:Aedes albopictus isolate Foshan contig33792, whole genome shotgun sequence.